GAUGAACGCUGGCGGCGUGCCUAAUACAUGCAAGUCGAGCGAACAGACGAGGAGCUUGCUCCUCUGACGUUAGCGGCGGACGGGUGAGUAACACGUGGAUAACCUACCUAUAAGACUGGGAUAACUUCGGGAAACCGGAGCUAAUACCGGAUAAUAUAUUGAACCGCAUGGUUCAAUAGUGAAAGACGGUUUUGCUGUCACUUAUAGAUGGAUCCGCGCCGCAUUAGCUAGUUGGUAAGGUAACGGCUUACCAAGGCAACGAUGCGUAGCCGACCUGAGAGGGAUAUCGCCCACUGGAACUGAGACACGGUCCAGACUCCUACGGGAGGCAGCAGUAGGGAAUCUUCCGCAAUGGGCGAAAGCCUGACGGAGCAACGCCGCGUGAGUGAUGAAGGUCUUCGGAUCGUAAAACUCUGUUAUUAGGGAAGAACAAAUGUGUAAGUAACUAUGCACGUCUUGACGGUACCUAAUCAGAAAGCCACGGCUAACUACGUG
rnacentral:rRNA from 1 species